rnacentral:rRNA from 1 species
GGUUAAGCGACUAAGCGUACACGGUGGAUGCCCUGGCAGUCAGAGGCGAUGAAGGGCGUGCUAAUCUGCGAUAAGCGCCGGUAAGGUGAUAUGAACCGUUAUAACCGGCGAUACCCGAAUGGGGAAACCCAGUGUGAUUCGUCACACUAUCAUUAACUGAAUCCAUAGGUUAAUGAGGCGAACCGGGGGAACUGAAACAUCUAAGUACCCCGAGGAAAAGAAAUCAACCGAGAUUCCCCCAGUAGCGGCGAGCGAACGGGGAGGAGCCCAGAGCCUGAAUCAGCAUGUGUGUUAGUGGAAGCGUCUGGAAAGGCGCGCGAUACAGGGUGACAGCCCCGUACACAAAAGCGCAUGUGCUGUGAGCUCGAUGAGUAGGGCGGGACACGUGGUAUCCUGUCUGAAUAUGGGGGGACCAUCCUCCAAGGCUAAAUACUCCUGACUGACCGAUAGUGAACCAGUACCGUGAGGGAAAGGCGAAAAGAACCCCGGCGAGGGGAGUGAAAAAGAACCUGAAACCGUGUACGUACAAGCAGUGGGAGCACCCUUUGGGGUGUGACUGCGUACCUUUUGUAUAAUGGGUCAGCGACUUAUAUUCUGUAGCAAGGUUAACCGUAUAGGGGAGCCGUAGGGAAACCGAGUCUUAACCGGGCGUUAAGUUGCAGGGUAUAGACCCGAAACCCGGUGAUCUAGCCAUGGGCAGGUUGAAGGUUGGGUAACACUAACUGGAGGACCGAACCGACUAAUGUUGAAAAAUUAGCGGAUGACCUGUGGCUGGGGGUGAAAGGCCAAUCAAACCGGGAGAUAGCUGGUUCUCCCCGAAAGCUAUUUAGGUAGCGCCUCGUGAAUUCAUCUCCGGGGGUAGAGCACUGUUUCGGCUAGGGGGCCAUCCCGGCUUACCAACCCGAUGCAAACUGCGAAUACCGGAGAAUGUUAUCACGGGAGACACACGGCGGGUGCUAACGUCCGUCGUGAAGAGGGAAACAACCCAGACCGCCAGCUAAGGUCCCAAAGUCAUGGUUAAGUGGGAAACGAUGUGGGAAGGCCCAGACAGCCAGGAUGUUGGCUUAGAAGCAGCCAUCAUUUAAAGAAAGCGUAAUAGCUCACUGGUCGAGUCGGCCUGCGCGGAAGAUGUAACGGGGCUAAACCAUGCACCGAAGCUGCGGCAGCGACGCUGAUGCGUUGUUGGGUAGGGGAGCGUUCUGUAAGCCUGUGAAGGUGGCCUGUGAGGGUUGCUGGAGGUAUCAGAAGUGCGAAUGCUGACAUAAGUAACGAUAAAGCGGGUGAAAAGCCCGCUCGCCGGAAGACCAAGGGUUCCUGUCCAACGUUAAUCGGGGCAGGGUGAGUCGACCCCUAAGGCGAGGCCGAAAGGCGUAGUCGAUGGGAAACGGGUUAAUAUUCCCGUACUUGGUGUUACUGCGAAGGGGGGACGGAGAAGGCUAUGUUGGCCGGGCGACGGUUGUCCCGGUUUAAGCGUGUAGGUGUGUGUUCCAGGUAAAUCCGGUUCACUUUAACACUGAGGCGUGACGACGAGGCACUACGGUGCUGAAGCAACAAAUGCCCUGCUUCCAGGAAAAGCCUCUAAGCAUCAGGUAACAUCAAAUCGUACCCCAAACCGACACAGGUGGUCAGGUAGAGAAUACCAAGGCGCUUGAGAGAACUCGGGUGAAGGAACUAGGCAAAAUGGUGCCGUAACUUCGGGAGAAGGCACGCUGACACGUAGGUGAAGUGAUUUACUCAUGGAGCUGAAGUCAGUCGAAGAUACCAGCUGGCUGCAACUGUUUAUUAAAAACACAGCACUGUGCAAACACGAAAGUGGACGUAUACGGUGUGACGCCUGCCCGGUGCCGGAAGGUUAAUUGAUGGGGUCAGCGCAAGCGAAGCUCCUGAUCGAAGCCCCGGUAAACGGCGGCCGUAACUAUAACGGUCCUAAGGUAGCGAAAUUCCUUGUCGGGUAAGUUCCGACCUGCACGAAUGGCGUAAUGAUGGCCAGGCUGUCUCCACCCGAGACUCAGUGAAAUUGAACUCGCUGUGAAGAUGCAGUGUACCCGCGGCAAGACGGAAAGACCCCGUGAACCUUUACUAUAGCUUGACACUGAACAUUGAGCCUUGAUGUGUAG